GCCCACGUUGGGGUAAUUAAGCCCUCUCCAGGUAGUUCUAAUCUGCAGCCACAUUGGGAUAAUUAAGCCAUCUCCAGGUAGUUCUAAUCUAAUCUGUUCAAUUUAUUUUUAGAGUCCCUGCCUCCCUGCAUCACAAUGAGGUAGGGAUGGACCAAAGAGGUGCCCUUUUUCAGGUGAGGCUUUUGGUUUAAAACAGCCAAUUUUACCCCAAGCUUCAUGUGAGAGUCUCCAGUAGAGCUUUUCACAAAGACAAAUGCCUGGGACCCACCCCCAAAUAAUUAAGUCUGAAUUACUUGGGUUGGCCUUCAAAAUGCUUUCCAGCAGUUUCCAUUGUAGAAUUGGGGCUGGGAAACUGUUUUACUGAUAAACUCAAUUGCAGACAGGCUCAAAAAUUUCGCUGAGUUUCUAGACUAGUGGGAGAGCUAUACUUGACCUGAAGCCAUGUUUGAGCUGUACAAAGUGUUAGUCAAGGUCGAGGGCAGAAUAACAGGGAAAUACCAGUGGAAAGGUCUCUAUGCACUGAGUGACUACCUUAGAACUGUGUGAGGAAUCGAGGCAACAGAUGUUAUGAGCCAAAUGAUAAUACGAGCCAACUGUGCUAGUGGAUGAUUGGAGGACCAAUCACAUUCAAGACCUUUAAUCGUGGCUGGCCCGCCCACAAGCUUCGGAGACUGCCCAGGCAGAGACGAACUAACCCCUUUCUCUAGCCUAGGGCCCUCUGACUUUCCUGACCUCCAGCGGGGCAAAGGAAAUGCCAGCUUUCUUUAGGCCCUGCAUCAGGGCCUGUGGCUUCAAAAAAUGCUCCAGUAUGAAAGUGAAGUGAGGAUCUGAAAUGGAAUCCGCCUCCAGGUAGAAGAACUGUUCUGUCACAGAGCAAGGUGCAGGAAUGGAUUCUCAGAGCAAAUCUCUCACAUGGCUCUGAUUUUUUUUCAAGGCAUGCUUGAAAGGAAUGACAAUUUUGAGAACCAGUAGAUUAUUUCAUACUGUCUUCCAAGCUCAUUAUUUUGUCUCACACGUACAAGUUGUGGGGCUACGGAUGGAACCUGCACCACAGCAGUGACCCAAGCUGCAGCAGUGACAACUCUGGAUCCUCAACCUGCUGAACUACAAGGGAACUCCCCACAAAUUCUUUUUAAUUAGAGCUACAAUGUUGAAGAAUAGGAUGCUGACUUCCUACAGCGGGAAGGGUCAGGUCAGGGAAGGUUUCUCUGAGAAUGUGAUGUGUAAGCUGAGGACUUCUGAGGCAGAGGUUAGGAUGGGGAUGGAUAUUCCAAAAGGAUUCCGGGCACCAGAAAGAAGUCAUGGUAAGGAGAACUCACUGUGGAUAUGUGUGCGUGUAUUAACAUAUAACCAUUUGCUACCUUCCUGUCUUGUUUUCCUACAGAGACGAACCAUUAAAUCCUCAAGGCCAAAA